rnacentral:rRNA from 1 species
GUGAAAUUGUUGAAAGGGAAGCGCUUGCAACCAGACUUGCACUGCAGUUGAUCAUCCGGAGUUUUCUCCGGGGCACUCUUCUGCGGUCAGGCCAGCAUCGGUUCCAGCGGUUGGAUAAAGGCCUUGGUCAUGUACCUCCUUUCGGGGAGUCUUAAUAGGCGAGGUGCCAUGCAACCAACCGGGACCGAGGUCCGCGCAUCGGCUAGGAUGCUGGCGUAAUGGUUGUAAGCGGCCCGUCUUGAAACACGGACCAAGGAGUC